rnacentral:misc_RNA from 1 species
GAGAGAGAGAGAGAGAGAGAAUGGUGGAUAAGAUUAGUGAGGUGUUACAAUAAUUGAUACGAAAACCAGAUAAAGUGACAAAAAGAGAAUCACCAAUAUUAAUCCAGUUGAUUGAAUGACUGGGGCUGGGCUUGGACUGCAGGCCAAAAGACGCUUUAGUUGUCUUCCAGGAAGAUUGUACUUUGGAUGCUUUGGGUGUCUUAUUGACCAUUGAAGGAGAAAAUUUUUGGUGGGGAACUUCCAAAUUCAAUUGCAACAGUACCUUAAGUACACUCUACAUUAAAGUUAUGUUCCCCACAUUGCAACAAAUCACUGACCUCAUGUGGUUUUGCUUAGCUGUUGGAGUGGGUGGGGUUCUCACUUGUUCUUGUGUUGGGUUCACUAAGUUCAAAUCAUCUGUGGUAAUAACUAUAAUGGUAAUGAAUAUUCCAAAGGAUUUGUCUAAUGACACUUAUUUUAUGUCUAGCGGUUAAUUGCUCAUUAUAAAAUUUUGUGCCACUUGCUAUUUUUCAAUAAUGAAUAAUUUUAGAGUAGUAUUUCUAGUUUAAUUUCUUCUUGUUAUGCCUUGUGACAUUGGUUUUUAAGUCUUCCAUAAUUGCUUUUAAUGAGGUUCAUGGUUGUUCCUCAUUUGAGCAUAAAUUAACCUUCCCAUGAUUUGCCAUCACUUAUUGUAUGUCGGGGCUUGUGAACAAUAUCAAAUCUUGUUAUUUUAUCUUUUUGUUGGUUCAUGUGGCUUGUAUCUAUUUGAAUAAGCACUUGAGGUGCAUAAAACUGCACUCAAGCAAAUUGCAUUACUACAUGUCUCUCUCUCACUCUCUCUCUCUC